CGCGGCGCCGACCCCUCCCCGCGGCGCCGUCCCCUUCUCGAUGCGCUGUCGCCGUCGCCAGCUGCGGCCUCCUUAGCCUGCCGCCGUCGACCGCAGCCUCCUUAGCUCGCUGCCGUCGGCCGAAGCAUCCUCGAUGCGCCGCACCGCCGCGCCAUGGCUGCAACUCCGUCUUAUGAGUCUCCUAACCUAGGACUCCAGAUCGGCGGCCGCCGGCGACGUGCCCCUCCAGAUCCGCCGGUGACGCGCGGCCCCAAGAGCUUCCUCCGCCGGUGACCUGCCCCCACUAGCCUCCUCCGCCUUCGCCUCCAUCUUCUCCUGCGCCUACGCCAGCAAAGACUGCAGGCACCUUGGCUGCAGCUAGAGGAUGACUGACCAAACUGUCAAUAGUGCAGCCGGCGGCAAUGGGCCUGAGCCUGAGCAGUAUGAUCCAUCCAAGGAUCCUAAGCGGAAGGCAAAGUAGGGAGACCCUGGGUGGAAGUAUGGGUAUUGGCAUGAUAUGAACAGGAGGGAUAGAUGACAAACCAACGUUGGUUAAGAAGGUGACAAAAAUAGUAGAGGACAAGUGGGAAUCUCAAAUGGGGGUGAAGUUGUAUGGAGCUGCACUAUUCUUAAACCCAAAUAGGAUCUAUGAUCUCAAAGCUAAGCCCGAGAAAGCACGAUAUUGUCAAAGGCUUAGGCAUAUGUUCAAUGAGGUGCUAUUGCACAUGGAGCCCGAUGAUGAUAAAGCAAGCGUGAUAAGUAGAUUGGCUGAUGACUAUGAAAGAGGUGAAGGUGAAUGCUUCAGCUCUAAGUUGGCAAUCAAUGACCGAACAAAAAAGAUUCCUCUCAUGCAGUUCUUUGGUGGGGUGCUUAUGGUGGCCUUGCUUAUGAGCUGCAACAUUUAGCAAAGCACAUAGUUAGCCUUUGUACUUCAGCUUACGGUUGCGAACAAAAUUGGUCUUGCUUUCAAAAUAUCCAUAUCAAAAAGAGAAAUAGGUUGGAGUUCUAAAGACUUAAUGAUUUGUCAUAUGUUCAAUACAACCGGAAGAAUGCUGAUAGGUUCCAAAAGAUUCGUGAGGAAGGCUCCAAAGGGACUAGGUCUGACCCAUUAGUCCUAGAAGACUUACAAUGGGACAAUGAAUGGGUUGACCAUAAUGCUCAGCCGGUUUAUGAAGGGGCUGAUAUCACUUGGGCUCAAGUUGACGAAGCUGUCGGUGCAUCUGAAGGUACAUGGCGCAACCUUAGAAGCCAUGGGAGUGGGAGUCAGGCUGCUGUUACUCAUGUCUAUUCUCGAUCUCGAGUGCACCAAGUUGGAGAAGAUGAGGACGAGGAGGAUGAUGCAAAUCAGGAGGUUGAGCUUGAAGAUUAUUCAACAAGUGAAGAUGAUCAAGAGGGAAAUCAAGGUGAAGGUGAGGGUGGAGGUGAAGAGAGAGGCUCCAUUGGCUUUGAUGAUGAUCUGGAUUACUAGGACGAUUGAUGGAACUUGGGCUGGUGUGGCUUCAUUUUGGACAUAUGGAGUUGGGGGCUCUUGGGGCUGGUGUGCCUCAUUUUGGACAUAUGGAGUUGGGGGCUCUUGGGGCUGGUGUGCCUCAUUUUGGACAUAGGAUUUGGGGCUGGUGUGGACCUUGUGGCUUCUUUUUGGACAUAUGGAGUUGGGGGCUUGGGGGUUGGGCUGGUGUGCCUUAUCCCUUAUUUUGGACAUAGGAUUUGGGGUCGAUUUGGGGCUGGUUGUUAAGAGUUAAGAACUUGAUAGCUCGUAGUUAAAUGUAAUGAACUAAUGCUUAAGAAAUGUGAUGGUAUUUGUAUGUAGAACUGCUGCUGUUUUCCUUGUCUGAAUCAGGUGAUCAGGUGCAAAGAGAAAAGGAUCAUCAAGGAAAACAAAUUGGGACAGAUGGACACACAAGAAGUGCACCUGCAAUCAACAAAGACGACCUUGCACAAGGUCAGAAAGGGAUUUCCAUUGCCAACUAUAAAAGAUUACAAGGUAAUAUCACUCCUAAUUCUACCCCUAAAUCCUAUUCUAAGCCAUGGCGACUUAGGGUGACUAAUCAAGCCAAGUCGCUGACUCAAGCCAGCAAGCCACUAGCCACAGCCUCGGCGACUUGGCUUGACUCGGCGACUCAAAAAUAGAGAACAACACAGACAUGUAAUUUCCGGUCUGAAGAAAGACAUAUUGAUGCUUGGAUGUUGGACGUGUUCUGAUGGUUUGAUUGAUGUUUGCUGAAUGCUUGUUGAUGCCGUUGGUUGUGAGAACUGAAUUCUGCGCCGAGUUGUUCCUUUGGAGUGAAAUGGCAGAGUUGCCUCGAGGUAUCUAAGGUAAGCUUUCUUGGACUAAACAUCAGUGCUGCCUCCCUACAAAUACAAUGCAAAAUAGUACUACUCAUACAAUUGUCUUGCCCCAUAACUUAUUUGUGCCCUGAAGCUCCUGGCAAAAAACUCGCACUAUUUUAUUUUUCAGAUGAACAAAACUCCAGUAGUAAUUAAGUGGUUAAUUCUCCUACUGUUCUACAGCUCCAAUAACCAAAAAAACAAACAUUUCCUGAGCCUUAGACAGAUCUGCACAUAUUUUGUAAUUUAUGCAUUCAGUACAUUUCUAGUAAUCUUACUCUGUUCAUUGUUAUUCAGUGUGGCUUGUAAGGCUGGACUGCGCAAAUACAGAAAUACCAACAUAGUUCAUCUCAUGGUUGUGUGCCUUGAGGCGAACCUACACAUACACACAACCACAUUUGCAGUAUUUAUAACAACUCAACUUUAUCUCUCCCGAACUCCUAUAUUUAUUUUAAAUCUGGGACUACUUCGUUCCACUCCUAUAUAUAAUACAUAGGCAUCAGGCGGUUUGCUGUUGGCGAAGUGUGGCGAUGUUUUCAUGUAUUUGUAUGGGUGUUGUGGCUUACAUAGUUGCAGUGGUUUUUUCAUAUUGUAGAUCACUCUGCUGCAUCUGCUCAAGAUUAUCUGUUGGUUGUUACUUUAUUUUACUUUAUUUUGUUUUCUAAAGAUAUGUUUGGCCUGCUGUAUAACAUGUGUGACCUGAUUCUAUGUUUCACACGUACGUAUAGUCUGCAAGAAAGCUAGCUGACUCAUUUCUCCUUUUUCUUUUUGUGGGUAAGUAACUCUUUUUUUCUUGAAACUGAACGGUAGCUGAACUGGUAACUGAACGGCAGCUGAACAUUUUAGUUGCAUCAUAAUAAUCUUCUUCUUCUAGUCUUCUUCUUCUAACUUUCUUCUUUCCCAUUUUACAGAUUUGCUUAAGAUCACGGAAGCUUGGGUUGAUGGAGUGCUUGUAUUUAGUUUUUGUUUUGACCUUGUGAAACUUGCUACCUAUGGAUGAAACUGUGUAAUAUUGAUGAAACUAUGUAUAUGUACGGAUGAAACUUGCUACUAUUGGUAACAUGUGUUGGAUACAUAUGUGUUCAUGACUAUUGGUAAUAUGUGUUGAAUAUGCUAUAUUGGUCGUAUAAAUAUAUUUGUGCUUGAUUUAUG